ACUCCUACGGGAGGCAGCAGUAGGGAAUAUUGGUCAAUGGACGGAAGUCUGAACCAGCCAUGCCGCGUGCAGGAAGACGGCCUUCUGGGUUGUAAACUGCUUUUAUCAGGGAAGAAUAAGCUUCUUGCGAGAGGUGAUGCCGGUACCUGAGGAAUAAGCACCGGCUAACUCCGUGCCAGCAGCCGCGGUAAUACGGAGGGUGCAAGCGUUGUCCGGAUUUAUUGGGUUUAAAAGGGGUGCGUAGGCGGCCUGUUUAAGUCAGUGGUGAAAGGUAUCAGCUCAACUGAUGACGUGCCAUUGAAACUGGCGGGCUUGAGUACAGACGAGGUAGGCGGAAUUUAUGGUGUAGCGGUGAAAUGCAUAGAUACCAUAAAGAACACCGAUAGCGAAGGCAGCUUACUAGGCUGAGACUGACGCUGAGGCACGAAAGCGUGGGGAGCGAACAGGAUUAGAUACCCUGGUAGCUACGAGU
rnacentral:rRNA from 1 species